rnacentral:rRNA from 1 species
GACGAACGCUGGCGGCGUGCUUAACACAUGCAAGUCGAACGAACAGGCCCUGCUUUUGUGGGGUGCUCGAGAGGCGAACGGGUGAGUAAAACGCGAGUAAACUGUCCUUGACUGUGGGAUAACUUCAGGAAACUGGGGCUAAUAUCGGGUAGGAGCUCUUGCAGCACGGGGGGGGAUGGAAAGAGUCGGCGGUGGUGGAUGUACUCGCGGCUUAUCAGCUGGAUGGUGGGGUAGUUGCUUACAAAGGCUGUGACGGGUAGCCGGCCUGAGAGGGUGGCCGGCCACAUUGGGCCUGAGGUACGCCCCAGACUCCAACGGGACGCAGCGGUCGGGAACAUUGCGCAAUGGGCGGACGCCUGAUGCAGCGACGUUGCGUGCGUGAUGCCGGCCUUCGAGUUGUAAACCGCUUUCGCAUGUGCUGAAGCCUGAGUGACGGUAAUGGGUAAAGAAGCCCCGGCUAACUACGUG